rnacentral:rRNA from 1 species
AUCGAGAGACUAACAGGAUUCCCCUAGUAACGGCGAGUGAAGCGGGAAGAGCUCAAAUUUAAAAUCUGGUUUGCUUGCAAAUCCGAGUUGUAGUCUGAAGAAACGUUUUCCAUGAAAGCUGAGACACAAGUCCUUUGGAACAGGGCAUCAUAGAGGGUGAGAAUCCCGUCCAUGGUCUCAAGCCUUUCAUUUUGUGAUACGUUUUCUAAGAGUCAGGUUGUUUGGGAAUGCAGCCUAAAAUGGGUGGUAAAUUUCAUCUAAAGCUAAAUAUUGGCGAGAGACCGAUAGCGAACAAGUACCGUGAGGGAAAGAUGAAAAGAACUUUGAAAAGAGAGUUAAAAAGUACGUGAAAUUGUUGAAAGGGAACCGUUUGAAGCCAGUCUUGCUUGCUUGUGAUCAGUCUUUGCUUCGGCUUGGAUGCACUCUCAGGUUAUGCAGGUCAACGUCAGUUUGAGAGGUGGGAAAAAAGCUUGAGGAAUGUGGCCUUCGGGUGUUAUAGCCUCUUGCUAAAUACCAUCUUUUGGACUGAGGCUCGCAGCAAAAAUGUGGGCAGGUUUGCGUUUGAGGUGAUACAUUAUUAAGACAGCUUGCUGACUUAGUUUUGUCUAUCUUCACUGUAAGCUUCGCUUCUAAUUUGCUUAGGUCGUUGACAUAAUGGCUUUAAAUGACCCGUCUUGAAACACGGACCAAGGAGUCUAACAUAUAUGCGAGUAUUUGGGUGGCAAACCCACAUGCGCAAUGAAAGUGAAAUUAGGUGCCAAACUCUCACGAGUGGCAGCAUCGGCCGGCUCUAACGUUUCUAACUGACGAGUCUGAGCAGAAGCAUACAUGUUGGGACCCGAAAGAUGGUGAACUAUGCCUGAAUAGGGUGAAGCCAGAGGAAACUCUGGUGGAGGCUCGUAGCGAUUCUGACGUGCAAAUCGAUCGUCAAAUUUGGGUAUAGGGGCGAAAGACUAAUCGAACCAUCAGUGCC